UAAAAGAUGGGCAUGCAUUCUGAUUAGCUAGUUGGCGGGGUAACGGCCCACCAAGGCGACGAUCAGUAGGGGUUCUGAGAGGAAGGUCCCCCACACUGGCACUGAGAUACGGGCCAGACUCCUACGGGAGGCAGCAGUAGGGAAUAUUGGGCAAUGGUCGCAAGACUGACCCAGCCAUGCCGCGUGCAGGAAGACUGCCCUCUGGGUUGUAAACUGCUUUUAUCUGGGAAGAAAAAGUCCAUGCGUGGAAAAUUGCCGGUACCAGAUGAAUAAGCACCGGUUAACUCCGUGCCAGCAGCCUCGGUAAUACGGAGGGUGCAAGCGUUGUCCGGAUUUAUUGGGUUUAAAGGGUGCGUA
rnacentral:rRNA from 1 species